AAGUCCUGGAAAAGUUGUUUAUGGUAGACCGGCAAUCGUUCAUACAUACCACCCUCCCCUCUCCACGCCACAAAUGUUAUCCAAGGGAAAGGCAAAGGCCGAUACAG